UAGGGAACAAAGCAGCAUGUAGGCAGG
rnacentral:piRNA from 1 species